AACGAACGCUGGCGGCAGGCCUAACACAUGCAAGUCGAACGCGUCCUUCGGGACGAGUGGCAGACGGGUGAGUAACGCGUGGGAACGUACCCUUUGGUUCGGAACAACAGCGGGAAACUGCUGCUAAUACCGGAUAAGCCUUCGGGGAAGAUUUAUCGCCAGAGGAUCGGCCCGCGUUAGAUUAGCUUGUUGGUGAGGUAAUGGCUCACCAAGGCUACGAUCUAUAGCUGGUCUGAGAGGAUGAUCAGCCACACUGGGACUGAGACACGGCCCAGACUCUUACGGGAGGCAGCAGUGGGGAAUCUUGGACAAUGGGCGAAAGCCUGAUCCAGCCAUGCCGCGUGAAUGAUGAAGGCCCUAGGGUUGUAAAAUUCUUUCGACGGGGAAGAUAAUGACGGUACCCGUAGAAGAAGCCCCGGCUAACUUCGUGCCAGCAGCCGCGGUAAU
rnacentral:rRNA from 1 species